rnacentral:rRNA from 8 species
AAAUUGAAGAGUUUGAUCAUGGCUCAGAUUGAACGCUGGCGGCAGGCCUAACACAUGCAAGUCGAACGGUAACAGGAAGCAGCUUGCUGCUUUGCUGACGAGUGGCGGACGGGUGAGUAAUGUCUGGGAAACUGCCUGAUGGAGGGGGAUAACUACUGGAAACGGUGGCUAAUACCGCAUAACGUCGCAAGACCAAAGAGGGG